UGUGAUGAGCAUGCAGUGCAAAAUGCUGUUCUGCUUAGUGCUAUCAUCUACUGAUGUGCUGCGUUGGUUAUAAAUGAAAAAGAAAGAAAGAGAUGAGGGUACAUGGCUGGCACAGUGUGUAUUGAAAGGAACAGAGCAUAUGUAAUUUUUUUGGAGCAUCGACGACGACAAGGCGGUAUCUGGAACUCUGCGCAUCAUCAGUUGUAGACUGGUAGAGUCGAGAAUCAAGCCGACAAGGUCGUAAUGUACCUCAGCACACCUAUGCGUGAUAAGUACAUGCGCUCGUCUCGCGUGCGGUUAUCUCCCACGGGGUGAUUACCUGGAUGAUUGUUAAUUGUUAGUCGCCUGCACAGCACGCCGAUUCCAGUGUCCGAGAAGUUGCAGCAGCUAAGGCGCAAACUGUGUCGAGAGAGAGCUUAUGCUUGACGUACUGUGCCGACCCCAUACUGAUAUGGGUUCUCCGAUUUAGGUUACUCGCAAUGUGUGGGCCAAGUGCAGGUCCAAUGUGCUUUUGCCCUGUAGACUUUACUUACCUGUGCGUUAACUUUGAAAAUUAAAUUUCAUACGUAGGGCUGGAAACGCUUGUGUGGUGACUUUUCGAAAUAAGACUCGAGUGUCGAUGUUUUUGUUGUUGCUUAGUUGCAAAUUUUCCAGCCCAGAAGUUGCAUGCACGAUUUCAUUUUUUACUCACCACCAUAGCACUUACAAUGAGUAGGUGACAUGCCUAGCAGUCGUGAUAUCGAGCGAGCGGAACGCAACGGUCGCUACAAGUCCUCGCGAAGGAAAGACAGCACCAGUGGCCUCGGCGGUAGUGAGCUGUUAUCCCUCGGCAUCAGUGCUCCUAGUGGCAGCUCCAGCCGGAGCUACGAAGUAGCCGCGGCUGCGGCAGUCGUAGCUCAAAGUGUCGAGUCCGUAGUAGGGGGAGGCUCAAGCCUGAGCUUGGGUAGACAUCGCCGGCACCAUCGCCGGGCCGGUGGUAUCAAGAAAAAGAAGAAGCGUUCGCGAGACAGCCGCUCGGGCAUUGGACACCACCAGUCCCUGACCAAAAAGCCCCUCGUCGAGUACUCGGACGUCAGCAGUGAGGACCUUUCAGAACCAGAGGCUGGUGAGAUCCAAUCAGAAGACAGUCGCGGAGGCCACAGCUACACGGACGGCGAGGUGCCCGAAUCACUGCUAAGGCCCCGGUACUAUGGGGGGACUGCUGCUGAUCCCCAACUUACCCGUGGACUCGACACAUCGCCCAUCAGUCUAUCGCCCCCGCCACCUGUACACACGCGUCUAUCCAAAAAGUCGUCGCAGCAGCAGCACUACGGCGCCCCUACGUCUCCCGCGCUCCUGCGCUCGGUUGAGGUCGCCAUGGCCGGUAACUACGUGGACGAAGAGCAGCGUCGCGUUCGCCGCAAAGAGAAAAAGCACAAACGCGACAAGAAAAAAGCUCGGGUCAGCCUCAGUCCGGGCUCCAGUGUGUCCAGCAGCAAGAAAAAGAAAAAACGCAAGUCGAAGCGCGCCUCUCGUAGCGUCAGCCCCACAGGUAUGAUGGUCGCGGGCGGCGAGCUGCUGCACUCCCAAGCGCUGACCAGCUGGCGGCUCCAGCAACAGCAUCAGUCCGGCCACUCGCCGCCCCGCAUGAGCCACAAGGCGAGCACUUCGCCAAUCUCACCUGCCACGCCACCUGAGCGGCGCUCACCCAGCGACAUGGACCUCGAGUCACCACCCUCACGGCAGCACAUGACAACGCCCCCGCAGUCUACGUCCAUACACGCGUCCAUGCUGCACCAGCAGCAGGUCGUCGGCAGACACAUCGAGUCACCGCACACUCCGUUACUACCGCCCCAUCGAGCCAUCACGCCCGAUAACCAUCACCACUCGAGCAAGUCCAAGCAAGGUGGUGGUGGCGGUGGCGGUAGUGGUCACCCGCAUAGCCCAGACUCACGACACAAGUCCUCUCUGGCUCACCUAAGCCCGAACCACGUCAGCUCGAGUCGACGGAGGCCUCACAGUCCGACCAGUCCGCCGCCGUCUUCGUCUUCGAGUAAACGGCGCAGGGAGCACAGUCCGACCUCGGGAAGCAGGCGUCGGGACUACAGUCCCUCGAAUCACAGCUCGAUGCACAGGAUAAGCAGCAGGCACAGCCCGAGUCCGAGCUCGCAUCGAAAGAGCCGGGCCGACGACUUGCUUAUCAACAGGUCGUCGCCCUCGUCAUCCAGCCGAAAGAGAAGAAGAGAAGACUCCUCCUCGAGGCAGCACAGGCAUCACGAGAAAGACAGGAGGGACAAGAGAAAAUUAGCGAGGAGCCCAGUAGGCUCGUCCUCCUCGAGGGCGCACCUGUCUCGCUCGAGGUCACGCAGCCCACACCGUAGCUGGCGCAAGUCGCGCUCGCGUUCUCGCUCCCGACGGCGCAGCCGUACCCCCAAAAAGUCUCACUCGCCGAGCAAGUCGCACAAAUCGUCGCGCAAGCGCCGCUCAAGGAGUCCACGGAUCUCGCGCAUACCCUCGCCGGUUCACCGUCGCAAGUCACCGAAUAGCCUCCUGAAACAUAAGCUCCAGGUCGCGGAAAAGGUCCAACAGACCAGCUUGUUUGCCGAACUGGUCAAGGAUCGCAAUAUGCGGGAACUCGCGCUCAAAAGGCUACAAGCAGCCAAGGAGAAGGCUAGUCAGGACGAUGUGCAAAUAAUUGAAGGCUCGGACGACAAGGACAACAGUAACGGCUCCUCGUCAACGACGACCAUCGAGAGGAACAACGAUAAGUCCUCAACAGCCGCUACGACACCUCUUACGAAUGUAGACUUGACCGUCGACGUUCUCGAUAUACCCGUUCCUCAAACGAACAUUCUACCGCCUACGUUGCCAGAGGCACAGACUCCACAAAUAGAGAUACAAACGUCGACACAGACACAGGUGCAGGCGCAGACGCCGAUACUGCAGACAAAGGUGCAGUCGCUAGCACCAGUGCAAGUGGCAACGGAGACGUUGGUUCCAGCCGUGCCAAGCACCGUCCUGAUUGGUGUCCCGCUCGCUGUGGAUGAUUCUAUGACCGAUGCUCCUACACCGGUAGUUCUCAUUCCUAAUGCUACCACCUUGGACACGUCAACACAAAAUGACACGCCUGUGGCUCCUAAGACACCUCCGUUGCCGGUGGCACCUGUCUUACCAGCCGUUGUAUCAAUGUUCACGCAACAGCAGCAACAACAACAGCCACAACCAAAGCUGGAGAUUUCUGCAUCUGCAGCGGCGUUGCAGGUUGGAGCAGCCAUUGCAGCUCAGGCCGCACAUGUAUAUAAUAAUUCUCUUGCUCCGGGUAACGACGCACCCAUUGCAAGUAUUCCGGGAGUAUCGAUAACAACAACAGCUGUUCAGAAUUUGCCAGCUGUAACACAACACAUGCCACAGCAAAAGCCACAAGUAGUUCAGCCGGUACAAUUACAGCCUCAGUUGCAACAGCUUCAACAGCAACUCCAGCAACAUUUGCAGCAGCAGCAACAACAACAGCAGCAACAGCAGCAGCAUUCGCCACAUCAUGCUCAUCAUCCAGACGUUAAUCCAGUUAUUCCCAUAUCAUCAGGUCUACCUCAAGUGCCUGUCCCAGUGCCUCUACCCGUACCAGCACCGCCUCCUUCGGCAGUCGUCGCUCGUGUUCCGACUCCCACUCCUACUUCUAUCCCUACUCCAGUCCCAAUUCCAACACCAGUCCCAACCCCAGUUCUAAUUCCAACCCCUGCUCCUAUCCCAACCCCAACCCCAACACCUGCUUCCGCACCUGUUGUGUCGAUGGUUACCGCACAUCCACCCGUACUCCCUCCUAUGAUACAUAAUGCCCCUCCCGUUGGGCCACCUCCCGUGACCACAUCUGCUUUCCCUACGACCUCGGCUAUUGCCAAAUUAUUCAGUACCCCCGAUAACCUUGUACCAGUUCCUAUAAAAUCUGUUGAUACGCCAAAGCAGCCAGUUCUUUCAUUCAAAACUAGUAUCCUCAACAAGCUGCCGAUGCCUCCUGGCCCAUAUCAAAACGAUCUAGAGAGCAUAGACUCCCCGCCAAGUCGUUCUCCUACACCACCUCCAACUAAGCCAAUGGUAAAGUUGACUCCGAUUAUCGGUAGCACUACACCUGUCACUCCAAAGCCGAAAAAACGUGGUAUCAAAGACCUACCCAUGCCACCUGUCAUUGCUGGUACGGAAGAUCUUAGUGGUGAUGAUGACGCGGUAUCGACUCCACCGCGGAACAAAAUCGAACGGAUAACUCCAAAACCAAAGCUGAAAAGACCAAAAAUAUUGAAAAAGAAGGGUUUACGAAACAAUAACAUACCUAUGUCGGCUUCUGGUGGCAGAGAUUGGGGAGAACGGUGUGUCGAUGUGUUUCAAGUCCUUGAUCAAAUCGGUGAGGGUACUUAUGGUCAGGUGUACAAAGCGCAAGACAAAAGGGCUAGUGUUAUUGUUGCUCUGAAAAAGGUACGAUUAGAAAAUGAAAAAGAUGGAUUCCCGAUCACGGCUGUGCGAGAAAUCAAAAUCCUGCGACAGCUUAAUCAUAAAAAUGUUGUCAAUCUGAGGGAAAUCGUUACUGAUAAACAAGACGCUCUUGAUUUCCGAAAAGACAAGGGAUCUUUUUACUUGGUUUUUGAGUACAUGGAUCACGACUUGAUGGGUUUGUUAGAGUCUGGAUUAGUCGAAUUUAAUGAGAUGAAUAAUUCCAGCAUAAUGAAGCAGUUACUCGAUGGCUUGAACUAUUGUCACAGCAAAAACUUUCUACACCGUGAUAUUAAAUGUUCCAAUAUUCUUAUGAACAACAAGGGUGAAGUCAAGUUAGCUGAUUUUGGUUUGGCUAGGCUGUACAAUGCAGAGGAUAGGCAACGUCCUUACACGAACAAAGUAAUCACUUUAUGGUACAGGCCACCGGAACUAUUGUUGGGAGAAGAACGUUAUGGUCCUGCAAUCGACGUGUGGAGUUGUGGAUGUAUUUUAGGAGAAUUAUUUUUAAAGAAACCAUUAUUUCCUGGAAACACGGAAAUGAUGCAACUGGAUUAUAUAUCCAAAGUUUGUGGAACACCAACGCCAGCAGUAUGGCCAACUGUGAUAAAAUUACCUCUAUGGCAUACUUUGAAACCGAAAAAAACACACAGACGAAGGCUUCGAGAAGACUUUAAUUUCAUGCCAGGUACUGCGUUAGAAUUAUUGGAUAAAAUGCUGGAGUUGGAUCCGGACAAGCGCAUAACAGCUGCUGACGCUCUGAAGAGCCCAUGGCUUAAACAUGUGAAUCCAGAACAAAUGCCGAUACCUAAAUUGCCAACGUGGCAAGAUUGUCACGAGCUGUGGAGUAAGAAUAAAAGACGACAGUUGAGAAAACAACAAGAAAUACAAGGCGGAAUUCCAUUGAUGUCAGUAUCAAAUAGAGACGGCAUGCAAAAAAUUAUCGAGGACCUCGACGUUGGGGGGAAAUAAAAAUGUAGUGGCCAAUUGUGAUAAAGGAAUUUUGUGUAGAGCUUUUAUGAAUAAUGUCAUCUAAAAGAUUAAAAAUGGAGGCAGGUUAUGGUUCAGUCCUGCGAUAUGGUUCAGAACCACACGUGAUGGGUGGCG
rnacentral:misc_RNA from 1 species